rnacentral:rRNA from 1 species
UACGUAGGUGGCAAGCGUUGUCCGGAAUCACUGGGCGUAAAGGGCGCGUAGGUGGCAACCCAAGUCGAUGGUGAAAGCUCGCCGCUCAACGGCGAGUCGGCCACCGAUACUGGGUUGCUGGAGCACUGUAGAGGCAGAUGGAAUUCCUGGUGUAGCGGUGAAAUGCGCAGAUAUCAGGAGGAACACCGGUGGCGAAGGCGGUUCUCUGGGCAUUACCUGACGCUGAGGAGCGAAAGUGUGGGGAGCGAACAGG